rnacentral:rRNA from 1 species
UGAGGAAUCUUCCACAAUGGACGAAAGUCUGAUGGAGCGACACCGCGUGAAGGAUGAAGGUCUAACGAUUGUAAACUUCUUUUCUGAGGGAGCAUAAUGAGAGUACCUCAGGAAUAAGGGACGGCUAAAUACGUGCCAGCAGCCGCGGUAAUACGUAUGUCCCAAGCGUUACCCGGAAUUACUGGGUGUAAAGGGUUCGUAGGUGGAUUUUUAAGUCAGGUAUGAAAGACCGAAGCUCAACUUCGUGUUUGUAUUUGAAACUGGAAAUCUAGAAUUAGGGAGAGGUAAGCGGAAUUCUAAGUGUAGGGGUGCAAUCCGUAGAUACUUAGAAGAACACCAAAAGCGAAGGCAGCUUACUGGAACUAUAUUGACGCUCAUGAACGAAAGCGUGGGGAGCGAAAG